AACGUGAUACAGCUGACAGCAGAGGUCAGUGAGAUAACGUGAUACUGCUGACAGCAGAGGUCAGUGAGAUAACGUGAUACUGAUGACAGCACAGGUCAGUGAGAUAACGUGAUACUGAUGACAGCACAGGUCAGUGAGAUAACGUGAUACUGAUGACAGCAGAGGUCAGUAAGAUAACGUGAUACUGCUGGCAGCACAGGUCAGUGAGAUAACGUGAUA